rnacentral:rRNA from 1 species
AGGACGAACGCUGGCGGCGUGCUUAACACAUGCAAGUCGAACGGAAAGGCCCUUCGGGGUACUCGAGUGGCGAACGGGUGAGUAACACGUGGGUGAUCUGCCCCGCACUUUGGGAUAAGCCUGGGAAACUGGGUCUAAUACCGAAUAGGACCAUGGGAUGCAUGUCCUGUGGUGGAAAGCUUUUGCGGUGUGGGAUGGGCCCGCGGCCUAUCAGCUUGUUGGUGGGGUUAAGGCCUACCAAGGCGACGACGGGUAGCCGGCCUGAGAGGGUGUCCGGCCACACUGGGACUGAGAUACGGCCCAGACUCCUACGGGAGGCAGCAGUGGGAAUAUUGCACAAUGGGCGCAAGCCUGAUGCAGCGACGCCGCGUGGGGAUGACGGCCUUCGGUGUAACCUCUUUCAGUAGGACGAAGCGCAAGUGACGGUACCUACAGAAGAAGCACCGGCCAACUACGUGCCAGCAGCCGC